rnacentral:tRNA from 1 species
GGGGAUGGCUCAGUGGCACAGUGCCUGCCUAGCAUGCACAAGGUCCUGGGUUCAAUCCCCAGCACCUCCA